AGAGUUUGAUCAUGGCUCAGAUUGAACGCUGGCGGCAUGCCUAACACAUGCAAGUCGAACGGAAACGAAGGGAGCUUGCUCCCAGGCGUCGAGUGGCGGACGGGUGAGUAAUACUUAGGAAUCUGCCCAUUAGUGGGGGACAACUCGGGGAAACCCGAGCUAAUACCGCAUACGCCCUACGGGGGAAAGCGGGGGAUCUUCGGACCUCGCGCUAAUGGAUGAGCCUAAGUCGGAUUAGCUUGUUGGUGGGGUAAAGGCCUACCAAGGCGACGAUCCGUAGCUGGUCUGAGAGGAUGAUCAGCCACACUGGGACUGAGACACGGCCCAGACUCCUACGGGAGGCAGCAGUGGGGAAUAUUGGACAAUGGGCGCAAGCCUGAUCCAGCAAUGCCGCGUGUGUGAAGAAGGCCUGCGGGUUGUAAAGCACUUUCAGUAGAGAAGAAAAGCCUAAGGUUAAUAACCUUGGGUCUUGACGUAACCUACAGAAGAAGCACCGGCUAACUCCGUGCUAGCAGCCGCGGUAAUACGGAGGGUGCGAGCGUUAAUCGGAAUUACUGGGCGUAAAGCGCGCGUAGGCGGCUUUGUAAGUCGGAUGUGAAAGCCCCGGGCUCAACCUGGGAAUUGCAUUCGAAACUGCUUAGCUAGAGUAUGGUAGAGGGAAGUGGAAUUUCCGGUGUAGCGGUGAAAUGCGUAGAUAUCGGAAGGAACACCAGUGGCGAAGGC
rnacentral:rRNA from 1 species